AUCUAGUGCAGCACAUCACAUCCAGUGUCAUGUCUCCUGGGGCUCCUGUUGGCUGUCACAAUUUCUCAGACUUCCCUUGUUUGUGAUUACAUUGAUGGUUUUAAGAAGUACUGUGUGGAAGUUGUGGGUUGAACCAGAAGUUCCAUGGAUCCAGGCAGGUCAGACCCUGACCGUAACUGCGGGAUUCUGGGGGUUUUGCUAGAGCUGGCCCGUCCACCCCCACCAAGGAGAGGGCAUAUAAUAAGUGAGCAUGAGCAGAGAGAGGGAGAGAGAGAGAACCUCAAGCAGGC